CCUACGGGGGGCAGCAGUGGGGAAUAUUGGACAAUGGGGGGAACCCUGAUCCAGCCAUGCCGCGUGUGUGAAGAAGGCCCUCGGGUUGUAAAGCACUUUCAGUGAGGAAGAACGCCUGGUGGUUAAUACCCAUCAGGAAAGACAUCACUCACAGAAGAAGCACCGGCUAACUCCGUGGCCAGCAGCCGCGGUAAUACGGAGGGUGCGAGCGUUAAUCGGAAUUACUGGGCGUAAAGCGCGCGUAGGUGGCUUGAUAAGCCGGUUGUGAAAGCCCCGGGCUCAACCUGGGAACGGCAUCCGGAACUGUCAAGCUAGAGUGCAGGAGAGGAAGGUAGAAUUCCCGGUGUAGCGGUGAAAUGCGUAGAGAUCGGGAGGAAUACCAGUGGCGAAGGCGGCCUUCUGGACUGACACUGACACUGAGGUGCGAAAGCGUGGGUAGCAAACAGGAUUAGAUACCCCAGUAGUC
rnacentral:rRNA from 1 species